rnacentral:rRNA from 1 species
GUGGGGAAUAUUGCGCAAUGGAGGCAACUCUGACGCAGCCAUGCCGCGUGCAGGAAGAAGGCGCUACGCGUUGUAAACUGCUUUUAACCGGGAAGAAACCCCAGGACGUGUCCUGGGUUGACGGUACCGGAGGAAUAAGCACCGGCUAACUUCGUGCCAGCAGCCGCGAUAAUACGAAGGGUGCAAGCGUUAUCCGGAUUCAUUGGGUUUAAAGGGUGCGUAGGCGGAGCGUUAAGUCAGUGGUGAAAUCCUGCAGCUUAACUGUAGACUUGCCAUUGAUACUGGCGCUCUUGAGUGCGCUUGAAGUGGGCGGAAUGUGCCGUGUAGCGGUGAAAUGCUUAGAUAUGGCACAGAACACCAAUUGCGAAGGCAGCUCACUAAGGCGAUACUGACGCUGAGGCACGAAAGCGUGGGGAUCGAACAGGAUUAGAAACCCUUGUAGUCC